UGGGGAAUAUUGGACAAUGGGCGAAAGCCUGAUCCAGCAAUGCCGCGUGUGCGAUGAAGGCCUUAGGGUUGUAAAGCACUUUCAGUAGUGAGGAAAAGCACGAUAUUAAUACCAUCAGUGCCUUGACGUUAGCUACAGAAGGAGCACCGGCUAACUCUGUGCCAGCAGCCGCGGUAAUACAGAGGGUGCAAGCGUUAAUCGGAAUUACUGGGCGUAAAGCGCGUGUAGGUGGAAAUUUAAGUCAGAUGUGAAAGCCUUAGGCUUAACCUAAGAACGGCAUUUGAUACUGAAUAUCUAGAGUAUGGUAGAGGAAAGUAGAAUUUCCGGUGUAGCGGUGGAAUGCGUAGAUA
rnacentral:rRNA from 1 species